ACAAAAAUUAGCCAGGUGUAGUGGUGCCCACCUGUAAUCCCAGCUACUCAGGAGGCUGAGACAGGAGAAUCGCUUGAACCGGGGAGGCGGAAGUUGCAGUGAGCUGAGAUUGCACCAUUGCAUUCCAGCCUGGGUGACAGGAGUGAAACUCCAUCUCAAAAAGAAAAAAAGCCUUUUGAAAACUAGAGGUGGGGGAUGGAGGUAGGUGGGACGGGGGGAUUUGGGGAUGGACCUUGCAGAGUUAGAACUUGCCAGGGAAAGAGGGUGGUGUUAGGACUCGGGAGACAGGGUUAGGGCCCCAGGAGCAGGAUCUAAGUCGUCCUCCCCCACCAUCCUGACACCACUGUUGCCCCAGGCCUGGGCCGAGGCCACUGGUGCAUAUGUUCCCGGGAGGGAUAAGCCAGACCUGCCAACCUGGAAGAGGAAUUUCCGCUCUGCCCUCAACCGCAAAGAAGGGUUGCGUUUAGCAGAGGACCGGAGCAAGGACCCUCACGACCCACAUAAAAUCUACGAGUUUGUGAACUCAGGAGUUGGGGACUUUUCCCAGCCA
rnacentral:lncRNA from 10 species